rnacentral:tRNA from 1 species
UCCUAGUCAGUAUAGUGGUGAGUAUCCCUGCCUAUCAUGCAGGAGAUUGGGGUUGGAUUCCCUGAUGGCGAG